GAGUUUGAUCAUGGCUCAGAUUGAACGCUGGCGGCAGGCUUAACACAUGCAAGUCGAACGGUAGCAGGAGAAAGCUUGCUUUCUUGCUGACGAGUGGCGGACGGGUGAGUAAUGCUUGGGAAUCUGGCUUAUGGAGGGGGAUAACUACUGGAAACGGUAGCUAAUACCGCGUAAUAUCGAGAGAUUAAAGACUGGGACCUACGGGCCAGUUGCCAUAAGAUGAGCCCAAGUGGGAUUAGGUAGUUGGUGGGGUAAAGGCCUACCAAGCCCGCGAUCUCUAGCUGGUCUGAGAGGAUGACCAGCCACACUGGAACUGAGACACGGUCCAGACUCCUACGGGAGGCAGCAGUGGGGAAUAUUGCACAAUGGGGGGAACCCUGAUGCAGCCAUGCCGCGUGAAUGAAGAAGGCCUUCGGGUUGUAAAGUUCUUUCGGUGGUGAGGAAGGUAUCAAC
rnacentral:rRNA from 1 species